CAAACGUUAGUCGUACUUUAAACAAAUGCUUCUUUGAUCAACACAAAGAUAUGGGGCCUGACAAGUCUCCCUGUUGGUUAAAGACGCCUGAACGCUUACAGAUAUUCAGAGAUUUCUUAGAAAUAAGAAACAAGGGCCACUCUGUAGACUGGUAUUCAUAUGUCAAAAGAAAGGAGAAAUAGAUCUUCGCCAGCGUACACAGGGGAGACUACUGACAUUGAUGUUAAUUCAAAGAAGCAAAAGAUUUAAGAAAAGACGUCGGCGUCCACUAUCAGCGUUUUGAGAAGCCCUGGUAUACAGCCAUCAGUCAAGUACAGAUAACUCUAUAAACACUUCUAUCAAGAAUCCAAUCCAAGUUUUGAACAAUCAACUUCAAACAAAAAAAUUUAAAGAUGCAAGAGACUCCCCCCCC